rnacentral:antisense_RNA from 1 species
GGGGUCCUCGCGGCGCACCAAGGCGAGACGCUCUGGUGACAAGUAGCGGCGGACACUGCUAAAAGAGAGCACACAGGUCUUGGAGAGCCUGGGGGUCCCGGCCUUGUGCUUUACCUGCGCCCGAAGGUCGCCUCCUUCUUGGGAGAGGAUGGGGACGUGGCAUAGCCACCCACGCGCCGCGGGGGUCCCGAGCCAUUAAGGGGCGUCCUGGUGGGAAGGCCUUUCAAGAGCUGACACACUGGAGGGAUGGGGUUAGGGGACAGAAGAGGGCGACGCAGAGCAUCCGCCAGCGCCGCCUUUAGGACCGCCAGCUCGUCUUCCUGUAACUGCAGCCGCUGCUCCAGCGCCGACACGCGGUCGUCCACUUCCAUACCGCUCGUGCCCGACAAAUUGUCAUCUGGAAGACGGGGGAGUGCCGGCUGCAGGGCCACCCAGGAGCUCCAGUGCCCAAGGGGUCCCUCCCGCCUUCCUGGGUCUAAGCGGGGGGCCAGCCACGCCCCUUUCCUGUCCCGCUACCUGGGGCUGGGACACUUGGACAUGGGCCAAGGAAGAGGACUCUGAAGGGGGAAGGAAAUCCCCACAGCUCUCCAACCCAUCCCCACACUCCUCUCUGCCGCAGCGCGCUGGCCGUGUGACCUUGGGGAAGUCCCUUCCCUCUUAUUUUCUAAGAGUCUGUGAACCCAGGAGCCUCUCAUUCUGGCUGUAAGAUUCUAUAACUAAGAUGUGACCAGGCGCGGUGGCUCACGCCUGUAACCCCAGCACUUUGGGAGGCCGAGACGGGCGUAUCACGAGGUCAGGAGAUUGAGACCAUCCUGGCCAACAUGGUGAAACCCCGUCUCUACUAAAAUAAAAAUAAAAAUAAAAAAAAUUA